GAUGAUACAAACCCGACACUUGGGUGAAGUGGCAGCACCGACGGCCCCGGAAGUGGCAGCGGUGAUGGCGGACGGUGCUCAAGAAGUAGAGCAAGAUGUGGAAGAGGACUUCCACCAUCUUUGCUUAAAGGAUUAUCGAGCGGUUAAGUUACCGAUUUCCAUUGAAAAUCAUGUGUAAGUAGUGUUACAUACAAAAUUGAAUUUAGACAUUUAAAACUCGAAUACUCAGAUGUUGUCUUCAAUUUUUAUGAUGGUCUGAGAAUUAAACCCGUAGGUGUCAUAAAAGCAGUUGUUAACUUUAAAAAUGUCAGUAAGAAUUUGGAAUAACAUCGCUUCUAGGUAGGCAGUAGUUGAUCGAAUUAACUAUAGAUUUUCCGAGGUUCAGUAAUUGUUAUAGCCUGAAUUCACAACAGAAUGUGUUGUUUAAUGAGGACAUAUCUAAUUUGAUAUACAGGUAUAAGGUAAUAUUCGGUGGCGGGCUAGGUCGGCCGGGUGUGCGACACUAUGGCUGCGGCUACACGCGGGCGCGGUGCCGGUGUUCCACCGAACUGAGCGUGAUGCUGUUAGACGGCAUCGUCGAACCCGUCGACUGCUCCGACUGGGCCUCGCCACUGGUGCCGGGCCUCCUGAGGGUGUCGCGGAUGGCGGCCACGCUUCGCUUUCUUCGAGAGUGGACCCGUGCAGGGGCAGCCCUUGCUUCGGGCGGUGUGGAAUAAUCUCCGUCCAUCGGCAUCGGCAUCGGCAUCG
rnacentral:misc_RNA from 1 species